UACGGGGGGGGCAAGCGUUUGUUCGGAAUUACUGGGCGUAAAGGGCUCGUAGGCGGCCAACUAAGUCAGACGUGAAAUCCCCAGGCUCAACCUGGGAACUGCGUCUGAUACUGGAUGGCUUGAAUCGGGAGAGGGAUGCAGAAUUCCAGGUGUAGCGGUGAAAUGCGUAGAUAUCUGGAGGAAUACCGGUGGCGAAGGCGGCAUCCUGGACCGGCAUUGACGCUGAGGAGCGAAAGCUAGGGGAGCAAACGGGG
rnacentral:rRNA from 1 species